UUACGUGUGUGUUGUUUGCGUUGAUCGUUCAGGUGUUCAGCUGGCGUAUGAAAAGGGUGAUCUUGAUCGCUACCAUGUCUCACUCAAUCAGUGCCCAGUGAGCAGUGUUGAUCUGUGCGCAAGAGGUAGGAAAGAAGGCAAACCUGCGGAAUGGCGAAAUUUGCGUCGUCUCUUCUACAGCCGCAGACAUCUCAGGCUUCCAGUUGCACGCCCUCGACAACUGGCUCGUCUUUCAGCGAGAGGUUCAAUCCGAGCCCCGACAAGGCCUGGCCUGAGUAUGCAGCGUCACUAGAGCGCUGUUAUGGAGGAGCCCGAGCCUCGUGGGCGCUGUGUCAUACCACAGGCUGCAGACUCGAGUGGGCUACUCAGGAGGAGUACCGAGCCCGCCGUCCUGCUACCCAUCUACCCUAGACUCUUCAAACGUCCAGUGCAGACAAUGCCGUCUUUUAUGUGAGCUCGGUCAACUUUUCAAGCUGAACCACACGGAUGUAAUUGGUGAGCAGACUGUACUCGAUGUAAGCUGGGCGGGCUGGGUGAGCUCUGUGGGGUGGAUGUCUCGGUGAGCAGGCUGGCUGGGCUAUAUUUGUGAACUGGGUGAGCCCUGUAAACUGAGAGAGCUGUGUGAGCUCUGUGAGCUCAGUGAGAGCUGAGUGAGCUCACUGGUGCACAGCUGGUCGAUCCCACAGACCGCCCCCUGUCGGCGGCCCGUCGGUGGCGGACAGGGACGCCGCGGGGGUGCGCGCUGUGGGUGUCUCACUGUCCUCGCAACUCAGAGCAACGGCCGCCUCUCCGCGCCACCCGGCGCCUCCGGUGCGCCACCGAACGUCACCGCUGCGCCGAGGACGUCGGGCGCUCCUGAGGGCCGCGCUUUUGUUGCAGAGCACAGUUUAUGGCGGCGACCGGAUCAGGGUGGGACCGGCAGUCGCGGCCUGGUAUGACACAGGAGAGGUCCGCUUUGACGGCGUUUUGAUGGGCUGUUACGGCCUGUCCGACGUCGUAAAGAGUCGAGGGGACGGGGGUCCAACGGCCGCGCAGCACAGGAGCGACCGGAGAGAACGGGCACAGACAAACACAGGUGCCCUGGUCGUACAUAUGCUCGUGGUAUGUCGACUGUGCCACCCGCAGCUCUGAGCCUGUGAGGCAGGCUGCUGCAGCUUUUUAGUUGGGAUGUCGGCAUUUGCAUGCGACGCUGAAGGCUUAUCAUAAGAAGUAGUUAUGUGUGAUUGAGCUGUUUGCCAGAGCUAAGGAUCCCAACUCAUGCAGCUAUGACUGGUUCGACCAUCGCCGAGACGGACUCCAGUUGUGGUAUCAUAAAUCAGUGUCAUUUCUGA